rnacentral:tRNA from 1 species
CAUCGGUGGUGCCUGUCCGGGACGCCUCUCCAAAACCGUGUGGGCGAGUUCUACUCAUUGGUUCGAUUCCUCCGU